rnacentral:lncRNA from 1 species
GACUUCUUACUCACUGAUUGGACAGAGCCUGCUUCUGGUGCAGCUAUGCCAGCCUGGCUUUGCUGGCCUUGUUACGGUCCUCUGAUCCUUUAGGGAGAGCUGCUUUUGUGAGAGCGAGAUGGGCUGGAAUGUGCCUCUGAUCUCAUACAGAUCUAAUCUGCCUUCUUGAGAUGCAUCUUUAUCAGGCUCUCUUCAGCUGAGACUGACGUUUAGGGGAAGGUGGUGAUAGCACUUGUUUAAUCGCCAUUGGAGAUCUGAAAGAAGUAAAGGGUAAGUGUGAGAGAGAUUUUUAGCUUACUGAAACCAUCAAUGCAGCAUUUUCUUCAGGCAUACUCAG